GCAUGCCCUUGCAGCACAGACUGAAAGUCCUUCCAGCUUGCCUUCAACCCAUGUUGACUAAUUUCCAUGGCACUAAUUACAGACAAGAAUCUAUACAAAGCUUCAGUGUUUAAAAGCUCCCAUGAAAUGUUCUUUUUAUGGCUAACGUCUGCAUCUAAUAAAGCCAUUAAAUUAGGAUUACCAUACUGAGUGUUGAUGAGAUAUGGACACCGUAUAACCUGAUAAGUGCAUAGUUGGGUAUAGAGAUUAAAAAAAUAUUGGUUUUCUGUACCAUUAUUUUGAUUCAGUAUUUUAAUUGAUCAACUAAUUGAGGCAGUGUAUUUUGCAAGAUGUGAUUAGAAUUUAAAAAAAUUCAGUCUAGUGGGGGAAUGGUGUAAAAUGUGGCGUUGGCACAUUUCACUCUCAACAGCGAUAAGAAAAGGGCUGAGGUAAAAGCUUAACUCCCAUUUAACCAGACUCACUGGUGAGCGGAUUUUCCAAAAAUUCCAAGAACUGUCUCCUUUUGUUGAAGCGGCAUUAUAAUAACCCUUUGAAGGUUUGCGGAGGGGAAGAGCGGUGAGAAGAGAUGGAGAACGCGGAUAAGAAGGAGGAGGGAGGAUAAAAGUGCACAUUGGCUCCUUUGUAUUAAUUGCUGUCUGGAUUGUCACUGCCUCCUGACACCAUCCCCAUCAUGAAUGUGUCGGUGUGCAGUAAUGGGGGCCAUUUACGUGGAGGGCCACCGAGCAAUUACAGUACAUCCAUUAGCAUCCGGCAAUAACCACGGCAUUUAUCUCUCGCUUGUGGAGGCUUCCCUUGCCUGUCCUUCCUCCCCCACCCGUAUCACUGUCUAGCCCCCCCACCACGGGGGAUUACUAUAAAAACCCCACCCCACCUCCUCCCAUGACCCAGUUGUGAGGCGAGGAGGGGUGAGCGGCGGCGGUUGUGUUUACCUCAGAGAGAGAUGGGAUGCUCGGCUUCCUCUCUCUUUCAGCAGAGCUUCACACUCGGAUACACACACACACUGCUGUCCUGCGUUAGCACAUGGCUCCGGGCUCGGCGUCUGUUCCGCGUGUUGUUCAGUGCAUUUGGGUCUAGUCCAGGGCGGUGUGAUGCCGGCUUGGGGUUAUUAUGGGAAGUUCCUAAAGGACACCACAUAGAAGGUGGAAGAGAUGCAGAGGAAACUGACUCAGACAAAGGAGAAGCUUUCAGAGAGUCUGUGAGCAAACAAGCGCGGGACCCUGUCUG
rnacentral:lncRNA from 1 species